rnacentral:lncRNA from 1 species
AUACAAGAGAGAACAAAAUGGUUAUUCAGGGGAACGCUUUCGAUUUUUAUUGUGGGUAGCCUGCACAAAGAGCCGUGUUAUUGUAUUUAAAAGAACCAUCUGUAGCAGAAACAAUGGCAUCAAAUUAUCUUUGAAUACCCACUGAAAAAACAUAAAGCUUUUUUUUUUAUUCUUCUUCUGUACGGUGGGGGGAUAGAGCAGUGUUAGGAUAACUGACUUUUUUGUUGUUCUCUGGGUGCAUUCUUCUCGCUCCCCCUCUCUCUCCCCCUCACCCUCUCUCUCUUCUCUCUCUCCCUCUCCCUCUCUCUCUCUCUCUCUCUUUUAAAAAAUCAGCCAUUUGGGGUUUUAAGCCAUAAACGAUUUUUCUUGUUGCAGGGGAUUGCAGUGGCAAAGCUAGGCUAGGUCUUGGAGGCUGGUGUAAGGCGAUGUGGGUGAAGGCAGGAGGCUGAUGGAAAGACUGGGGGGAAGAAAAGCCGAAAUGGAUUCACGGUGCCUUGGAUGAAGGACGAGAGGGGAACUGCAAGCUCCUUCAACUGGUUCUGUCCGGUGAGAAGUGAUCAAGCUUGGGCUGACAAGAGGCUCAGGGAGCCCUCACGUUCUUUCGCUUUUUUACCUGCCAAUCAAACUGCUACAAGACAACACCCUGAUCUGGCAUGGACAUCGCGGGUCCAAGCCUGUAGCCCCAAAUCGGAUAAUCUCUGCAGCUGAUAACAAGCAAAAGAGAAGCCAGGCAACAGCCAUAUUAAAGAAGAAAACAAUCAACUCUGAGAUCCAACUUAGAAAUAAUGUUUCAUUCAAGAUAAGGCUCGUGGCUUAGGAGAUUGUGACCUGGCUUGCAUCAUUCUAAGACUUCUAUCGUCUGUUUUCAAAACCCAAGGAGGACCUCCUUUUCUGUGUGAUAGUUCCUCAUGCUUUGCCAGCCACUGGGUCUUUAAGGAAGCUUGCCAAGAGUUCCCGGCUGGGAAGGACAGUUCGAGUUCAUCAUAGACAAUGAGCUGGCACCACAGUUUAAGUGACUCACCAACCUGGUUGCCCACUUCAAAAUGUCAAGAACCACACUAUCUAAUUGAAAGAACUGUGUUUUAGCAAAGUGUAAUUGGAUCGCCUGGCAAGAUCAUCUCAAACUAUGUCUCUGACCUUGCCUUUCAGUGGCUAUUUUGAGCACAAGAGGAGAAAGGAAAUGAUUCCUGAAUUAUAUCUUGUUUUUAAAAAUUAAGAUUAAUUAAUACUUGGUUUUAUGUUCAUUCCAUUGUAGGAACUUAGUGAUUAUUACAAAACAGUCAAAAUAGGUCAUAGCAAAAUGAACGUUUAAGAUUAGGUUAAAACAUUCCUCUGAAAUUUUAGUAUUCACUUUUGAAGUGUCAAUUACUAUAUUUCUGUAAUUUCUCAUUUUUUUCUUGGCUUAGAGUCAAGAUGAAAAAUGAUAUUUGAAUCAAAGACAUUGUUUUGUUAUAUAGCCACUCCUUUCUAAAAUGCAAAUCCACCCUCCCCUCACCAAUGCUUUAUUCUUUGUGCGCGCACACACACACACACACACACACACACACACACACACACACAGACAUACACAGAACCAGCACCCAAAUGGUAGAGGAGGUCCUUCCAAGACUUCUAGGACCUGGAUCAUGUAAGCAGUAGAUGAGAAAAUGAAGUAAGAGAUAUAGAGUAAUAACAAUAAAAGUCAAUGAUUUCAUUUUACAAAAAAGUCAUUGUGUAGUACUCAGAUAUUUUUAAGAGCAAGUAUUAUUAUGACUAAAGUAUAUUAUACUUCUAAAUUAUUAUGAUUCUCAUCUAAUUUCAAGCCACACAUAGGCGCCAUUUGAAAGCAUUUUGUGUUACAACCUAUCAACAAAAAUCAACUAAUAGUUUUAUAACGUGCAUAGGUUUACCCCAUGGGGAAUUAAAAUUUUUAUCUGCAAGUAUUUCUGUUGUUGUGAGACUUUAGGACAAGACAACAUUUGGUGUUAACAUAGAAGAAUAUUCUAUGGCUUUUUUAGCUUUAAAGUUCAUUACUCUAAAAUAAAGUACACGUGGUAUUUUUUUCUUCCUAGUGUUCUCUUAUUAUAUGUAGAGUAUUUUCGGUUGUUGUUUUUAACGUAUACAUUAUUUUUAUUAAGUCAUUUCAUAAAAGAUAAGAUAUAUACUAAUAGACCCUUGGUUUUCUCCUAAUUUAAUUAUUUCAAGUCAAGCAAAAUUGGGCAAUUUUCUUUCAGGAAAAAAAAAAUAUUGAGCAUGAUUUUGAGGUAAAACUGAUUAUUUACAGCAUCUUUUCUCUAAUAGGCUAACAUUUAUGAUGGAUCUUAUUUCAAAGUUGAUUAUUCUCAAAGAAAAGUGGAGAUAUUAGAAUUUCCGAGUAAAUUGCAUUGUUUUAAAAAGUACUUUAAUGCAUUGUUCACAUUGUUGCCAGCUAUUGACCAAAAAAGAGAAGAAGAAAAAAGAAAUAAAAAAAGCAGUAUCUGCUCCAAACGUCAAGUUUUGCAGUUUGAAAGACUUGUACAUUAUAAUUGUUUUUUUCUUUUUUGGAAAGCAGUAGUAAUUAAUACCAAAGGCAUAGACAAUUUAGGGCCAUAACCUCCCUUCCCCCCUCUCCACCUUUUUUUUUUUUUUUUUUUUUUUUUAACUUUAACCAUGAUAGGCAUCUCUGCAAGGUAGGUUUUAACAUAUUUUUUUCCUAAUUUUUUUCCCUCCAUUCAGUAAGAAGGAUAAGCUUUUAGAGUACCCAGUCACCGUGGUAACUGCCAAAAAAAUUCUCCUGAAGUUUGAAGAGGUCAGCUAGCAGGGUCAACAACCCUGGCCUCUCUCUGAGCUCGGUCUAGCAUGCCCCAGCCUGCGGUUGGAGUGUCAGGCCAGAUCUGACCCUGGGAGGUGGACCAUUCUGGCUCUGAUAUAAAUUUUUCGAGUCAGUUCAUGGCCUGGACUCUCCAGGUGGCCUCCAAAAUCGAUUUUGACCCCCUGACCCUGUCUCACGGAGGCAUAGCAUCCACCCUAAGUAAGGAUUUAGCCAGGAAUGACAGCUUUCCACUGAGUGUUAUUGGGGACAGUAUAAACAGUUUGGAAAGCAAGUAAGGAGGUGUGAGGGCUAGCAAUCAUUAAAAGCACAUUAAAAAACAAUUUUUAAAAAUCUUUAUUAGAGAAAGUUGUAAAUGCAUAUCUGUUACAGAAUUCCUGUGAUUUGUAGAGUUUUCUAGUCAGUUUUGAAUAUAAAUAGGUCACAUAUCUUUAUCUUUUUGCAUACUUUGUUACAAAUAUGCAAAUAAGAUAGGCAUACUUGCUACAAAAUAGGUACAGCAGGAAUGUAAUAUGUUCAGAAAAGGCAAACUGGUUAUUAAAACACAUUAACAGGUAAGGAGUUUCUAAUAUUUUAAAUACUAAAAUUUUACAUGUGUAUUUUGAAGUUUUUAAAAUGGAAAAAUAAAGAACCUUUAAAAAACCCAACAGUGUGGAAUAAAGAUAAACUUGUUGCACUCAAGGUACAUUUCUACUUUGUAAAGCAAGAAGCCAAUACACUCAGUUGGAUAAAAAUGAGAGAAAAAUUGUAAAUAUAGAGAGUUACAGCUUAUAGAGCUGAAGAGGAAUAAAACAAAAAAAAGUGUCUCUGAAUAACUUUAUGUAUUUUCAACAGUUUAAGAUAUCAGAAACUUGGAAAAUAAAUAUGAUAUAUAUAUAAAUCAUCAGUGAUUAUUUCCUUUUCAUUCCCCCCCGCCCCCAGGAUGCCACCGUGAGUGUUUGAUUUUCUCUAGGAAAGUAGAAUUCUCUUUGAGAGUUCUAGCCUGUGAACUCAGUAUGUAAAUGUGGCCAUCAAGAAGACAGAACUGCCAAGAGGAAAGAUUAUGAAUGUUUUUCUUCCUUAAAACCAUUCACAGUGUUUCUUCUUCCAGUGCUUUACUCAGACUUCUCCCCUUUUCCCAGCUCUGUUGAAAAUGGCUUCAAAAGCAACACUGCAGUGGCUAAACCAAUUGUACUGUGAAGUUGUUGAGAUGCCAUUUCAUCUGAAUCCUUCGUAAAAAUUAGAUUUUUAAGUAGGGGUGAAUAUCCUUUUGGGAGAGGGAAUGGGAGGGUAGAAGAAGGGGGGAAAGGACAGAGCA